rnacentral:tRNA from 1 species
UGGGGAGUCGUCUAGUGGUAGGACAGCGGACUCUGGAUCCGCCGGCGAUGGUUCGAAUCCUUCCUCCCCAG